AUGGCGCAUGGGAAGUAGCCGUAGAGACCGGAAGUACGAGCGUGGGUGGUGUCGCAGCAUUACGAUGUCGUGUUUCCGGUGCACCAGCACGUGUGGCGCUCUGGUACCGCGCUGACACACUGUUGGCAGUCGAUUCGCCGUCACCCGAUUCCCGAUACCUGUCUGCGGGUGAUACUCUGUUGAUUCGUGAUGUGUCAGCGUCGGAUGCAGGCGCAUACAGCUGUGUUGCGCGACAUGAGCUUACCUCUCUCACCCGUCGCUCACGUCCCGCGCCCCUUGAAGUCAUGCCAAGUUCUGCAGUUGCUGGCAGUGCGCCCCGUGUGACAGCAGCGAGUGAACUUUCUGUCCCACCUGGUGCGCCAUUUUGUCUUCCAUGCGCUGCCUCUCAGUACCCACC